GGCAGCAGGACCAUCAUUCAAUAUCACGUCAAUAUGUCAUAUGGCCAACAAGGAAGUCAACCAACCAACCAACCAACCAACCAACAAUGGGGCAGAGAAAUAGCUACAGUCAUGUUCAGAUUUCAAGCCUCGUUUUGCCAUAUGAUUAAGUUUCAGUCGGUGGGCGGCCUAUAAAUCAGGCGCAAUGAUGAUAUACACCAAACAUACAUAAAAGUUGCCAGUUGAAGACCUUCAAAAAAAAUAUAUUGCAAGGCCAGAUAACAUGGCGUAUGCUUCAUAUUAAUAAACAAGCAUUUGAGUUGCACGUUGCCCUCGACACGACACAGAAAAAACGGUAGACAAUUUGUAUUGACGUUUUCAAUUAAAAUGUCAAAGCAAUUG